GUUCAGGUCUGCCUGCUUGAAUGUCUGUCAGAAUUGUAAGUUAGCAUAAAUGCAUUCAUAGUGUCAACGAUUCUUGCGCAGCAACAUUUCAUCUGGAUGUGGUGUAUGUACCUGAUCUACAAUCUGUUCGACAGCAUCAUCAGAAAGAAGUAGGUCUGAUUCAUUCAGGAUUGCAAGCACCAUUUCCUUCAACUGCAUGAACGACCAGUUUCGUGAAACAAAAUGUACUGACAGAGCUCAAGGAUAAGCAUCUAAAUCGGCAAAUCGAGUGUGUGGUAGACUGGUAGUAUGUUAAAAACAUCUUGAAGUAGUAUGUUCAGUAGACAAGAUUAUGUGCAGAAUAAUUCAGUUCAGUACAAAAGAUGCAGACCUCUUCACGUUCAA